UACGUAGGGUGCAAGCGUUGUCCGGAAUUAUUGGGCGUAAAGAGCUCGUAGGCGGUUCGUCGCGUCGGCUGUGAAAACCCGGAGCUCAACUCCGGGCCUGCAGUCGAUACGGGCGGACUAGAGUUCGGCAGGGGAGACUGGAAUUCCUGGUGUAGCGGUGAAAUGCGCAGAUAUCAGGAGGAACACCGAUGGCGAAGGCAGGUCUCUGGGCCACUACUGACGCUGAGAAGCGAAAGCAUGGGGAGCGAACAGG
rnacentral:rRNA from 1 species